GAUGAACGCUGGCGGCGUGCCUAAUACAUGCAAGUCGAGCGAACAGACGAGGAGCUUGCUCCUUCGACGUUAGCGGCGGGCGGGUGAGUAACACGUAGGUAACCUACCUAUAAGACUGGGAUAACUUCGGGAAACCGGAGCUAAUACCGGAUAAUAUUUCGAACCGCAUGGUUCGAUAGUGAAAGAUGGCUUUGCUAUCACUUAUAGAUGGACCUGCGCCGUAUUAGCUAGUUGGUAAGGUAACGGCUUACCAAGGCAACGAUACGUAGCCGACCUGAGAGGGUGAUCGGCCACACUGGAACUGAGACACGGUCCAGACUCCUACGGGAGGCAGCAGUAGGGAAUCUUCCGCAAUGGGCGAAAGCCUGACGGGGCAACGCCGCGUGAGUGAUGAAGGUCUUCGGAUCGUAAAACUCUGUUAUUAGGGAAGAACAAACGUGUAAGUAACUGUGCACGUCUUGACGGUACCUAAUCAGAAAGCCACGGCUAACUACGUG
rnacentral:rRNA from 1 species